CCCCCUUGCUAAAGCAGCCUAUAUACCGCCGUCGCCAGCCCACCUCCAAUGAAAGAGCCGCAGUGGGCACAACAGUCCUAACCCCACUAACAAGACAGGUCAAGGUAUAGCCAAUGGGAUGGAAGAAAUGGGCUACAUUUUCUAAAUUAGAAAAUACGAACAGGGGCAUGAAACUGCCCCUAGAAGGCGGAUUUAGCAGUAAAGAGGGACAAAAGAGCCCCCUUUAAGCCGGCCCUAGGGCACGU
rnacentral:rRNA from 1 species